rnacentral:rRNA from 1 species
GACAGAGGGGGCAAGCGUUGCUCGGAAUUACUGGGCGUACAGGGCGCGUAGGCGGGCUGGCAAGUCGGUCGUGAAAUCCCUCGGCUCAACCGAGGAACGUCGAUCGAUACUGCUGUUCUUGAGGAUUGCAGAGGAGACUGGAAUUCCCGGUGUAGCGGUGAAAUGUGUAGAGAUCGGGAGGAACACCGGUGGCGAAGGCGGGUCUCUGGGCAAUUCCUGACGCUGAGGCGCGAAAGCGUGGGGAGCAAACGGG